CCUACGGGAGGCAGCAGUAGGGAAUCUUGCGCAAUGGGCGAAAGCCUGACGCAGCCAUGCCGCGUGAAUGAUGAAGGUCUUAGGAUUGUAAAAUUCUUUCACCGGGGACGAUAAUGACGGUACCCGGAGAAGAAGCCCCGGCUAACUUCGUGCCAGCAGCCGCGGUAAUACGAAGGGGGCUAGUGUUGCUCGGAAUUACUGGGCGUAAAGGGAGCGUAGGCGGAUAGUUUAGUCAGAGGUGAAAGCCCAGGGCUCAACCUUGGAACUGCCUUUGAUACUGGCUAUCUUGAGUACGGGAGAGGUGAGUGGAACUCCGAGUGUAGAGGUGAAAUUCGUAGAUAUUCGGAAGAACACCAGUGGCGAAGGCGACUCACUGGCCCGUUACUGACGCUGAGGCUCGAAAGCGUGGGGAGCAAACAGGAUUAGAUACCCUGGUAGUCCACGCUGUAAACGAUGAGUGCUAGUUGUCGGCAUGCAUGCAUGUCGGUGACGCAGCUAACGCAUUAAGCACUCCGCCUGGGGAGUACGGUCGCAAGAUUAAAACUCAAAGGAAUUGACGG
rnacentral:rRNA from 1 species